rnacentral:lncRNA from 1 species
UCUCUCAUUUGAGCCCACAGGUCCAAAAAAAUCAGGUUAUAAAUUUAGAGUUCCAGUGAAACAAAAGGCCAUUAUAUUCCUAUUACCCUGGCAGGGAAAAAGAUAGUGAGAGAAGAGCUAACAGAGUUCAGAGCAACCUCCAGAGACUGAAGGGAACUCAUCGGCAAAGAACCAAUUCCCUCUCACAUAAACCCUAAGAGUGCUUUGCAAA